AAUUGUAAAGUCUGUUUGAAAGGAGUGUAAUAAAUUUUGUCCCAGAUUUUCUCCAACCAGCUGUGUGGAUAUCAGUAUAAAUAAGAGCAGCCUGGAUGAUUACACAAACGUCUGGAGUUUUAUUGCGGAAAAUAUUACGUACUAUACGAAAAUACAGAUAUGGAUAAAAAAGAGGCAAGAGAGCAGUUGGGAAAAAACCAACACUUUCAUCCUGAAACGAACCCCCAGCUAGCGGCGGGGACCCCUCCAAAGCAACAGCACUGGUGGAACAAUUUACAUAUGAAACCAUCGCUUCCAAUGCAGAUACAGCGACAAGGGUCAGCGGAUUCGUCAUCUCAAACGAGCAGUUCACCGCUGAGUUCUUCCCCUUUGUCUGAACAGUUCACAAAGAAACUUUCAAGGUCUUACUCGUCUGACGAGCACAAGGACAGUAUUUUAACGUAGACCUCAGUUGUUGACACAAUAUCUAGUCGGAUAAACCUCAUUUUUCAUCACAUAGCUCGUCCACCAUGUUUUUGUUUUUAUUUUAGACUGCGCCAUCGAAUUCUAGUGCUAGUUCUACAUCUGGAACAACCCAACAAACCGCUCAGACUCCUCAAACUACGGAAGCACAGCCAAUUAAGAGAAUCGAUUCGAAAAGUGUAUAUAUGGGAAUAGACUUUUCAGAUUAGGAAACCUAGGACUUAGUUUUAUAUAUUUAUGAAAAUGAUCCAGAAAUCGAAGUGGAAAUAUGUGCUCAUUGAAAACGGGUUUGUUAUUUGGUGCAUAGCAGUUAAAAGUGCAUUAAUUGAUAUAACUAGAUAUAGAAUUUACUACUAGCCAUUCAUCCAUAUGAGAAAUCAAAUAUAUGUGAAUUUCAAGUUGUAAGCUUGUGUGAACUGUGUACGUGUUUGGUUUGUUUGCUGUUAAAAACUAUUUUAGGGUUACCUGAAAGGAGCCUCAAAAUGAGAAGAAAAACAAACUAUUUGUGAUAACAUGUAGAUUUUGUCAUAUUUAAUAUGAACAUUUUUGUUAUAUCAAUAAAAUGUAAAAGAAAGAAAUACAA